rnacentral:rRNA from 1 species
CCUACGGGUGGCAGCAGUGAGGAAUAUUGGUCAAUGGACGAGAGUCUGAACCAGCCAAGUAGCGUGAAGGAUGACUGCUCUAUGGGUUGUAAACUUCUUUUAUAUGGGAAUAAAAUGGUCCACGUGUGGUAUUUUGUAUGUACCAUAUGAAUAAGGAUCGGCUAACUCCGUGCCAGCAGCCGCGGUAAUACGGAGGAUCCGAGCGUUAUCCGGAUUUAUUGGGUUUAAAGGGGGCGUAGGUGGUUUGUUAAGUCAGUUGUGAAAGUUUGCGGCUCAACCGUGAAAUUGCAGUUGAAACUGGCAGUCUUGAGUACAGUAGAGGUAGGCGGAAUGCGUGGUGUAGCGGUGAAAUGCUUAGAUAUCACGAAGAACUCCGAUUGCGAAGGCAGCUUACUGGACUGCAACUGACACUGAGGCACGAAAGUGUGGGUAUCAAACAGGAUUAGAUACCCGUGUAGUC